rnacentral:rRNA from 1 species
GACGAACGCUGGCGGCGUGGAUUAGGCAUGCAAGUCGAACGGUAUCAUCCUUUCGGGGGUGAGAGAGUGGCGAACUGGUGAGUAACACGUAGGUUAUCUACCCUCAAGACGGGGACAACCCAGGGAAACUUGGGCUAAUACCGGAUGUGAGCAACUUUUAGUUGUUUGAAAGGUGGCGUAAGCUGUCGCUUGGGGAUGAGCCUGCGUCCUAUUAGUUAGUUGGUGAGGUAACGGCUCACCUAGGCAAUGAUAGGUAGGCGGCCUUAACGGGUGGUCGCCCACACUGGGAUUGAGAUACGGCCCAGACUCCUACGGGAGGCAGCAGUCGAGAAUAGUCUACAAUGGUCGGAAGACUGAUAGUGCGACGCCGCGUGAACGAUGAAUCCCUUCGGGGUGUAAAGUUCUUUUAUAUGUGAGCAGUGCUUCUUAUAUUAACAGUAUGGGGAGAGAGAUAUUAGCAUAUGAAUAAGCAACGGCUAACUCCGUGCCAGCAGCCGCGGUAAAUACG